rnacentral:tRNA from 2 species
GGCCUUGUAACUCAGUUGGUUAGAGUAGCUGACUCAUAAUCAGCAAGUCCUUGGUUCGAGCCCAAGCUGGGCCACAA